rnacentral:rRNA from 1 species
GCGGGACACGUGGUAUCCUGUCUGAAUAUGGGGGGACCAUCCUCCAAGGCUAAAUACUCCUGACUGACCGAUAGUGAACCAGUACCGUGAGGGAAAGGCGAAAAGAACCCCGGCGAGGGGAGUGAAAAAGAACCUGAAACCGUGUACGUACAAGCAGUGGGAGCCUCUUAAUGGGGUGACUGCGUACCUUUUGUAUAAUGGGUCAGCGACUUAUAUUCUGUAGCAAGGUUAACCGAAUAGGGGAGCCGAAGGGAAACCGAGUCUUAACUGGGCGUUAAGUUGCAGGGUAUAGACCCGAAACCCGGUGAUCUAGCCAUGGGCAGGUUGAAGGUUGGGUAACACUAACUGGAGGACCGAACCGACUAAUGUUGAAAAAUUAGCGGAUGACUUGUGGCUGGGGGUGAAAGGCCAAUCAAACCGGGAGAUAGCUGGUUCUCCCCGAAAGCUAUUUAGGUAGCGCCUCGUGAAUUCAUCUCCGGGGGUAGAGCACUGUUUCGGCAAGGGGGUCAUCCCGACUUACCAACCCGAUGCAAACUGCGAAUACCGGAGAAUGUUAUCACGGGAGACACACGGCGGGUGCUAACGUCCGUCGUGAAGAGGGAAACAACCCAGACCGCCAGCUAAGGUCCCAAAGUCAUGGUUAAGUGGGAAACGAUGUGGGAAGGCCCAGACAGCCAGGAUGUUGGCUUAGAAGCAGCCAUCAUUUAAAGAAAGCGUAAUAGCUCACUGGUCGAGUCGGCCUGCGCGGAAGAUGUAACGGGGCUAAACCAUGCACCGAAGCUGCGGCAGCGACACUAUGUGUUGUUGGGUAGGGGAGCGUUCUGUAAGCCUGUGAAGGUGGCCUGUGAGGGGUGCUGGAGGUAUCAGAAGUGCGAAUGCUGACAUAAGUAACGAUAAAGCGGGUGAAAAGCCCGCUCGCCGGAAGACCAAGGGUUCCUGUCCAACGUUAAUCGGGGCAGGGUGAGUCGACUCCUAAGGCGAGGCCGAAAGGCGUAGUCGAUGGGAAACAGGUUAAUAUUCCUGUACUUGGUGUUACUGCGAAGGGGGGACGGAGAAGGCUAUGUUGGCCGGGCGACGGUUGUCCCGGUUUAAGCGUGUAGGCUGGUUUUCCAGGCAAAUCCGGAAAACCAAGGCUGAGGCGUGAUGACGAGGCACUACGGUGCUGAAGUGACAAAUGCCCUGCUUCCAGGAAAAGCCUCUAAGCAUCAGGUAACAUCAAAUCGUACCCCAAACCGACACAGGUGGUCAGGUAGAGAAUACCAAGGCGCUUGAGAGAACUCGGGUGAAGGAACUAGGCAAAAUGGUGCCGUAACUUCGGGAGAAGGCACGCUGAUAUGUAGGUGAAGCGACUUGCUCGUGGAGCUGAAAUCAGUCGAAGAUACCAGCUGGCUGCAACUGUUUAUUAAAAACACAGCACUGUGCAAACACGAAAGUGGACGUAUACGGUGUGACGCCUGCCCGGUGCCGGAAGGUUAAUUGAUGGGGUUAGCGGUAACGCGAAGCUCUUGAUCGAAGCCCCGGUAAACGGCGGCCGUAACUAUAACGGUCCUAAGGUAGCGAAAUUCCUUGUCGGGUAAGUUCCGACCUGCACGAAUGGCGUAAUGAUGGCCAGGCUGUCUCCACCCGAGACUCAGUGAAAUUGAACUCGCUGUGAAGAUGCAGUGUACCCGCGGCAAGACGGAAAGACCCCGUGAACCUUUACUAUAGCUUGACACUGAACAUUGAGCCUUGAUGUGUAGGAUAGGUGGGAGGCUUUGAAGUGUGGACGCCAGUCUGCAUGGAGCCGACCUUGAAAUACCACCCUUUAAUGUUUGAUGUUCUAACGUUGGCCCGUAAUCCGGGUUGCGGACAGUGUCUGGUGGGUAGUUUGACUGGGGCGGUCUCCUCCUAAAGAGUAACGGAGGAGCACGAAGGUUGGCUAAUCCUGGUCGGACAUCAGGAGGUUAGUGCAAUGGCAUAAGCCAGCUUGACUGCGAGCGUGACGGCGCGAGCAGGUGCGAAAGCAGGUCAUAGUGAUCCGGUGGUUCUGAAUGGAAGGGCCAUCGCUCAACGGAUAAAAGGUACUCCGGGGAUAACAGGCUGAUACCGCCCAAGAGUUCAUAUCGACGGCGGUGUUUGGCACCUCGAUGUCGGCUCAUCACAUCCUGGGGCUGAAGUAGGUCCCAAGGGUAUGGCUGUUCGCCAUUUAAAGUGGUACGCGAGCUGGGUUUAGAACGUCGUGAGACAGUUCGGUCCCUAUCUGCCGUGGGCGCUGGAGAACUGAGGGGGGCUGCUCCUAGUACGAGAGGACCGGAGUGGACGCAUCACUGGUGUUCGGGUUGUCAUGCCAAUGGCACUGCCCGGUAGCUAAAUGCGGAAGAGAUAAGUGCUGAAAGCAUCUAAGCACGAAACUUGCCCCGAGAUGAGUUCUCCCUGAGACUUAGAGUCUCCUGAAGGAACGUUGAAGACGACGACGUUGAUAGGCCGGGUGUGUAAGCGCAGCGAUGCGUUGAGCUAACCGGUACUAAUGAACCGUGAGGCUUAACCUUACAACGCCGAAG